rnacentral:rRNA from 1 species
UAAUCUGGUUGAUCCUGCCAGUAUCGCAUUUCUUAGUUAAAAGAUUUAUCCAUGCAUGUGUUCGGCACUUUUUAUAGUGCCUGCGGACGGCUCAUUAAAACAGAGAUAACCUCCUCCCGAUGAAAGACGGAUAACUAUGCUAAUUGUGUGGCUAAUACGUGAGUUUAUCGCUUGUCGAUGUCCCAACUACUUUGGUAACUAACUUGAUACUUUGUUGGGUUCUUAGGCUUCGCCUAUAGGGAAUGGGUCUCUGAUCUAUCAGCUGUAGACGGUUAUGUAUCGGAUAACCGUGGCUUUGACGGAUAACGGGGAAUUAGGGUUCGGUUCCGGAGAGAAAGCAUGAGAAACGGCUUUCACAGCUAAGGUUGGCAGCAGGAGCGAAAACUUUUCAAAUAGGCAAUGCCUGAAAAGGUGACAAUCUGUAUCAACAACUGCAUUUUGUAGUUGAUUGAAAUGAGAGACAUAUAGACAGUGUUUCGAGUAGCAAGUUCAGGGCAAGUCUGGUGCCAGCAGCCGCGGUAAUACCAGCUGAGCUAGAAAUGGGUAAUAUUGUUGCAGUAAAAACGUUCGUAGUCAUCCUUUUUCUUAUGGCUAUUCUUUAUGUCUAGCCUUUUAGAGUGGUUAAUGUUGUUUAUACAUCAUUUUCUCCGCGAGUAAAAUAGAAUGAUCAACUUUGUUGGAUAUGAAAGCGCGGCAAAUCUUUAUAUGCCCUUGUUUUUGCCUAUUAAUUAGGGGAUAUACUUUGAGAUUGAGUGAGGACAUUAGUACUUAAUGGCUAGAGGUGAAAUUCAUAGAUUCAUUAAUGACUAACUACUGCGAAAGCAUCUGUCUAACUCACUUUUGGUGAUCAAGAACUAAAGUGUGGGGGUCGAAGAGGAUUAGAUACCCUCGUAGUCCACACUUUAAACUAUGCCGACUAGAGGUUGGUGUUGGUACUAUACUUCAUCAGAACCUUAGCAGAUAUAAAAGUUUUCGGGCUCUGGGGGGAGUACGGUCGCAAGGUCGAAACUUAAAGGAAUUGACGGAACGGCACCACCAGGGGUGGAGCGUGCGGCUUAAUUUGACUCAACGCGGGAAACCUUACUAGAGUAAGACAUUAGUGUGAUUGACAGGUUACUUGAUCUUUCUUGAUUUGGUGGGUGGUGGUGCAUGGCCGAUCUUAGUUGGUGGGGUGACCCGUCUGGUAAUUUCGAUAACGAACGAGACCUCAGCCUA